rnacentral:rRNA from 1 species
GACGAACGCUGGCGGCGUGCUUAACACAUGCAAGUCGAGCGGUAAGGCCCUUUCGGGGGUACGACGAGCGGCGAACGGGUGAGUAACACGUGGGUGACCUGCCCUUAGCUCUGGGAUAAGCCUGGGAAACGUGGGUCUAAUACCGGAUAUGACUCCAUGACGCAUGUUGUGGGGUGGAAAGCCUUGUGCGGCUAGGGAUGGGCCCGCGGCCUAUCAGCUUGUUGGGUGGGGUGAUGGCCACCAAGGCGACGACGGGUAGCCGGCCUGAGAGGGCGACCGGCCACACUGGGACUGAGACACGGCCCAGACUCCUACGGGAGGCAGCAGUGGGGAAUCUUGCGCAAUGGGCGAAAGCCUGACGCAGCGACGCCGCGUGAGGGAUGACGGCCU